CCAAAAUGGCAGUUUAAUCUUAAUUUUAAGAAAGACAAACUCACCAACAAUUCUGUAGCACAGAUCUCAUGAACACUACUCCCCUCAACUCUAAGAUCUCACAAUCGCAACUUGCAAUUCUGAUGGGAUUUAGAAGGAAACGGAAAAAAACUGAAAGAAUUCUCUGUCUGGAAUCAUGAUGUUUUUCUCAGUUUUAAGGACAAGAUACGCUCAGGAUGUGAAAACCGGCAAAAUUACAGGUUAAUCCAUACAACCUAACUAGGUUAUCCACCAAGUAAUCUUGCAAAGCAACCAGUUCCAUUUGAUUUACCACCACACGGGUUGGAUAAGACUACAAUGUAUGGUGAUGGACCAUCCUUGGAGGAUGAUCCGUCACGUAGGCGCCACGUCAUAUUCUUCCCAAAGAUGGUCCAUCCUCUAAAACUAGAGGGCAUGGUAGGAUGGUCCUAGUCAUAGUCCUCCACCACUUUUUAUGUUUCUUUUAUUUUUUUUAGUAUUCUAUUUUUUUUUAACAUUUAACAAAUAUACUAACAAAAUAUUUUCAUUAAUAUUAAACCCACAUUACAUAACAUUUAACAUCAUUUGUUGAAGGGCUUGAUUUUGGGAGAUUUGAGCGAAUUGGUUUGGCGAGUGUUGGAAUGAAGCAAACGCAUUCGAUGAAUAUUGCGAGAAUUGGUUCGGUUCUAGCGUCGGAUAAUAUCCCGGAACCGAGAAAACAUUAGGUUGGGUCGGAUUGUUGGGAUUAUUCGGGUUGUUCGGAGUGUUAGGGUUGUCCGGGUUGUUGAACGGAUCCAUGAAAAAGUGUAAAAAGGUUUAUAGUGGAAGAAGGUUUAUAAAAUAGUGGAAGAAGGUUUAUAAAAAUUAUGUGAGAGAGAGAUGAAAUUUUGGGGUUAAUUGGGUGAUUGAAAGUGAAAAUGGAAGGUAAAUAUAUAUAUUUUAAAAUUGUGACCGUUUGUUUUUUCUCAAAAUUAGGAAUUUUUGUUCUUUUUUUUAUCAACGGUCGAAAUCAUAAAUGAUGGGCCCCACUUUUGGACCGUCUCAAACAGCGAAGAAGAGACGGGGAAGCCGGGACGUGGGGGGGGGGGGGCGGCAUGGUGUUUGCUGUGUCGCCGGUCCAAGACGGUGUGGGGACGGACCCCAUACCGUGUAGCCUAAUGGUGGGUCGUUGGGGCUCCAACAUUCUUAUGAUUACCAGUUCAAUACAAUGUUGGCUUAGAACCAGAGUAUGAUAUAAUAUUCAACGAUAAAUAUCGAAUCUAGUUGGCACUGAAUUUUAUACAUUGCAUACAUUUUAACCAUUAAAUAGCAUUGUAUAAUUAUAAUAUAUAUUAUACCAUAUAUUAAAUGGCUUCGAAUUUAAUAAUACUAAUAAUAAUAAUAAUAACAAUAACGUUAACAAUAACGUGACGUUUCAUACUUUCAUGUGGCGGUUACACCGUAUCAACAUGUCUUUCCCUUUUGUGCACCUCUAUCUGACCCAUUUAGACUUGGCUUAUGGCCCAUAUAAAUACUAAAGUUAUUUCCUUCCUGCACCUUACAAGAAGAUAGAGAGAGAGUUCCCUGAGUGUCAUUGAAUAUUCAAAAAAUAUGCAGAAACAAAUGAGCGAAAUGUGGAGAAAGGGGAAAUCCCUUCUUCUCACGAUAUGUCUGCAAGAAGAUAUGGUGGUUUGGGGCAAAAGCAAGGAGCAGGAGCACAAAGAUCCAUCCAUUUUUAUGGAUGAGCAUACAACACCCGAAAACCAAAUAUUGGGUGAAGAGUCGGAGACAAAUUGCAACGACCAGGUUAUUGCUAUCAAAACAUCUGAUGAAAUUUGCGAUGAACAUGAUGAGAUUCAGCCGGCUAAUGUUUGAUAGGCGUGUUCGGGUUCGGCAUGCAUGGGGUUGGGUCGUAUCUUUAUUAUUUGUUUUGUUUCUUUUAGUUAAGUGUGUGACUAAUUAUAUGUUUACCAAGUUAUUGUUAAUCACAGUAGUUUUGUUUGUUAAUUAUGAUUUAACAAUUAUAUGUUUACCA